rnacentral:tmRNA from 1 species
GGGGUCGACAUUGGAUUUGACAGCGAUAGCGAUAGUCAAGUGUCAGCAUGCAGAGCGUUGUAGUGAAGCUCUUAAAUAUCUUGCUGCGAACAAUAAUUGACAACACGUCAUACGCACUUGCUGCUUAAUUUACUGAAUGUAAAUUGGCUUAAUCCUUCCGAAGUAUAGUAGGUAGGACAAGUACUCCCUCCAUGCCUCUGCCCAUUAGGUAUGGUUUUCGGGAGUUCAAACUUUUGGGCUGGUAAAAGUGAUUGUACUAAGCUUUUAUAAGACACCAGUAUAUAAGCUUUGGUCUUGGGUGUUCCCGUCCGUGCCAAGGUCGAAAACCAAUCAGGAAAUAAGCAUGUAGAAAGCUUGAAGAUUCGUCGUUUGGACGAGGGUUCGAACCCCUCCGACUCCACAA